CCUACGGGUGGCAGCAGUGGGGAAUAUUGGACAAUGGGCGAAAGCCUGAUCCAGCCAUGCCGCGUGUGUGAAGAAGGCCUUCGGGUUGUAAAGCACUUUCAGUGGGGAAGAAAGCCUUGGGGCUAAUACCCUCGAGGAAGGACAUCACCCACAGAAGAAGCACCGGCUAACUCCGUGCCAGCAGCCGCGGUAAUACGGAGGGUGCGAGCGUUAAUCGGAAUUACUGGGCGUAAAGCGCGCGUAGGCGGUCUGGAAAGCCGGUUGUGAAAGCCCCGGGCUCAACCUGGGAACGGCAUCCGGAACUGUCAGGCUAGAGUGCAGGAGAGGAAGGUAGAAUUCCCGGUGUAGCGGUGAAAUGCGUAGAGAUCGGGAGGAAUACCAGUGGCGAAGGCGGCCUUCUGGACUGACACUGACGCUGAGGUGCGAAAGCGUGGGUAGCAAACAGGAUUAGAUACCCCUGUAGUC
rnacentral:rRNA from 1 species